GACGAACGCUGGCGGCGUGCUUAACACAUGCAAGUCGAACGGAAAGGCCCUGCUUUUGUGGGGUGCUCGAGUGGCGAACGGGUGAGUAACACGUGAGUAACCUGCCCUUGACUUUGGGAUAACUUCAGGAAACUGGGGCUAAUACCGGAUAGGAGCUCCUGCUGCAUGGUGGGGGUUGGAAAGUUUCGGCGGUUGGGGAUGGACUCGCGGCUUAUCAGCUUGUUGGUGGGGGGGUGGCUUACCAAGGCUUUGACGGGUGGCCGGCCUGGGAGGGUGAACGGGCACAAUGGGACUGAGAUACGGCCCAGACUCCUACGGGGGGCAGCAGGGGGGAAUAUUGCACAAUGGGCGGAAGCCUGAUGCAGCAACGCCGCGUGCGGGAUGACGGCCUUCGGGUUGGAAACCGCUUUCGCCUGUGACGAAGCGUGAGUGACGGUAAUGGGUAAAGAAGCACCGGCUAACUACGUG
rnacentral:rRNA from 1 species